UUGGUGGCACAAAAUCGGAGGCCUCGACUGUUUACUAAAAACACAAGAAUGUGCAAUGAUGAAAAUCAUAGUAUACGUUCUGAAAUUUGCUCGAUGCCAUUAAUAUAAAAAAGGUAAUGGGUAACUGUUACUGAUUGAAAGUCUGGUUAAUAGCGGUCUUAACUAUGAGGAUCCUAAGGUAGCGAAAUCAAUUGGCCAUUAAAUGUGGUCCGGUAUCAAUAAUGUAACGAAGGUCUCACUGUCUCUACAACUUGCUCAGUGAAAUUGAAUUACCCAGUGCAGAU
rnacentral:rRNA from 1 species